GAAUUACUGUAUAUUUAACCCACAAAUAGAAUAUAACACACAAACAUUCAUUCUCUCCAAUUCACUUUGUUAUUUGAAAGAGUUAGGGUUGGUUCUCUCUCUACUCUGGCGAGAAAUGCUGCCUCAAUUUUCAGGUUUAUUUGGAAGUAUUGGUGAUGGCAUGGUGUCGGAAAAAAAUAAAAUUAGGUAUAGUUGACUAUGCAGAAAAUAGUACAACAAGAAAAGCUAAAAAACCAAGACCAACUAAAACGACAGAAAUAAUACUACAUCACCUAUUGAAACGAUAGCAACAACUAAUCCAAAAGAUUCAAGGGGGUGACAAAUGCUGUGAGGUCCCAUUGUGGGUGAAGAAUGCUGUGGAGAUGGAUUAGAUCAGAAGGGGAUGAAGCCCUUGGUGAAAUAUGGUCCUAGGACGUCCUUCCAAACAUCGUCCAUCAAUGUCUAGAUCAGAGGUGCCUUUAUCAUCCGAAGGUACUUCUCAUACAGAGUGAAAUAUAGGUGAUAAUAGAUGGGUUCGUAGUCAGACUCGAGGAAAGAAUACAUUGAAAAUUAUGAUCAACAAUGGUGGCGAAAAGCUACUUGUUAAGGUGCCUACAAAUAAAGGGUGUCCAGUAGUAUGAAAUUUCACUAAGUUGGCAAAUGAGUUUGGUGUAGAGAUUCGAUUGAGGGCACUGUUGCAGGGAGUGACAUGUUGGGGCGAGAUUCCUGAACCAAUUUAGAGAGGCAAUCAUACCAAUUUAGAGAGGCGAUCAUACAGCUCGCGUAUUUGCAUAUGAUUCCUUCAUAUAAGUAGGUUAAUAAAUAGAGGUUAUCUUCUUUACGGCUGUCCCGUAAUUCAGAAAUUUAUGGGCAGCUAAGUCGUUGGUGCGUGGCUGUGUAACGAAUCGAGUCUAAUUCGAUUUGUAUUUUCUUUUUCGGUACCUGUUUGGUAAUUGUCUUAGUAUAUUUGCGGGUUUGUGUCUUGGUUAGAGUUGGAUUGGUAUGAGUUUUCAAAUUGUUUAAUUGUGUAAUUAUUAUUAUAGUUGUAGGGUCAUAGAUCAUUCUAUUUAAAUUGAUGAAAUUACAUUUUGAUUUA